GGUAGAGUCCACCCAGAGACGGGAGGAACACUAGUACGUGCGACUCGGCCAACCGGCAGCCAUUGUUGGUGUGGAGGGGCGUGGCCACGUGCGGGGCGGGAGGGGCUCCUCCCUCAAUAGCAACUUGGAAAAUGAAACCAGGGUUCGCAAAGCUGAGCGCAGCCAUUUCCACCUGGCUGUCUAGUGAAGGACGAGUCAAGCGCACGGAUCGG
rnacentral:lncRNA from 1 species